rnacentral:rRNA from 1 species
CGGUAAUACGGAGGGUGCAAGCGUUAAUCGGAAUUACUGGGCGUAAAGCGCGCGUAGGUGGUUUGAUAAGUUGGAUGUGAAAGCCCCGGGCUCAACCUGGGAACUGCAUUCAAAACUGUCUGGCUAGAGUAUGGUAGAGGGAAGUGGAAUUUCAGGUGUAGCGGUGAAAUGCGUAGAUAUCUGAAGGAACACCAGUGGCGAAGGCGACUUCCUGGACUGAUACUGACACUGAGGUGCGAAAGCGUGGGUAGCAAACAGGAUUAGAUACCCUGGUAGUCCACGCCGUAAACGAUGUCAACUAGUUGUUGGGAGCUUUAAGUUCUUAGUGACGCAGCUAACGCAUUAAGUUGACCGCCUGGGGAGUACGGUCGCAAGACUAAAACUCAAA